CUGAUUGGCCAGUGUUUUUCGUUAAUAAUUCAAAAACGAAGUUUCAACCAACAUUGUGGUAAAGGAAAAAGUUGUUCGGAAUCAUCCCAGCAACCCCCCAUUUCCGGGUGUUACGCGAGUUCUGGGACACCCUGUAUAUAUAAGAUAACCUCAAAAAUCAAACUGAAGUUUACCGAUAUCACUGAUCGAUCGUAAACGACAAACGAGUCUCGUAGUCGAACAUUAAUCGAACAAUUCCAAAAAAUGGCGGGGAUGAAGACGCGGUACAGUGAAAAACCAUUCUGUCUUAAGAAAUAUAUAUUCUUAGUCUUGCUUUCUACACAAAUGUCGUAAUUGAAAUCUUCGUUGAGAAGAUUAUAAGUUUAAUAGUUCUUGCAAACUUUCCCAAGGCUCAAUCACGAAAGUGGUGAAUAAAUCAUGUGAUCGUGAAACAGGCAAGUAUCGUCGAAACGGGACGAACGAAAAGUAUCGCUCGCCGAAUUAUCUAUCACUUUCCUCUUAAUGGCUUUUUCGUGUAUACAUUUAUAACCAAAAUAUUAAGCGAUCAUCUAAGGAUUUUUAGGCGAAGAUGCACUAAUGGACCGACUUGUCACGAUCUGCUAUGGUAUCGGGUCAAGGAUCGCAAUGUACGGCAGAAACUGUUUAUAUUCCUCUGGAAGAUAUUCCUCGGUUUCUCUUCUCUCCGCGGAUGAAAACGCAACGUUUCGUAUUGAACGAGAGGAGAAUCGUAAAAGGAACGGUAUAUCUCAUCGUUCAUCGAAAAUAUGAUCUGUCAUAACCGUCUCUAGUCUGUGAUUUAAUUAUGCAUUCCUUUAGUUAUUGAAACGCUUUAACAGGUUCUACGUACGAAAAACUCAUACAACCUGUAUCUGUGAAAGGUUUUACUUCCCGAUGCCAAUGAACUUCCAAACGCUAACGUCCGUAAUCCGUAUUAUCGACGAUCAUCACGAACAAAUUGAAUCUCCUAUUAGGAUCGAUCGGAGAAAAUAAGAGGGGGAAACAAGUCGAUAAAACGAACAUCGGCAAGUUCAAGGUGUUCCCUAAAGUGCCUUAUUUUUAGGAUUCCACAGGUUCUUGGAUACCUGGCGCUAUGGCGAUCGACUCUCAAAUUCUUCAAUGGGACGAGUCUCCAACUUUCAUCGUCCUUUUCACCUUUUUUCUUUCUUCGGCCAUCAUUUUGAUGAAACGGAACAGUCGAUGGUACUUGAAAUUGAAGGUGCAUCUGUGCAAAUAAUACUAAGGAAAAAAAAAUAUGCAUCGUGAUUGUCCUACGUUCGUUCAAGGUGAUCGUGCCUAGUUUAUUCGAAAUAUGUGACAUGAAACGCAAAACAACCAUCCUGAAUUGCAGAAAUUGAUGUCGAAUACUUCUCAACGUAUUCAAAUAUUUCACGUUAAUCUUUUGCUUGUUUUCGUCGUGCUGCUAUCAUAGGAGCAUACUAAAUCAUUUAUUUUAUACACAUUCUCAGCGAGUCCUUUCAAUCGAGGACCUCGAAUUGCUGGUAUCAUUAAAAUCAAGCUAACAAAUGGACGUGCAAAGAAGGACAAAUUAUGGAUAUUAUUCUUAUCAUUCCUCUACGUUCAAUAGUUCCUGGCAAAUACAACGCUUACAGGCGAUAAUGCACUUUUUCGUUGUAACGAUAAUAUCGUUUGGAUAUCAUUUUGAUAUCGCCAUGUUGCAAUGAUUAGUCUAGGUACAUAUGUAGCUACAGUGGCGUGCAAAAGUAUUCGGCCACCGUUUGAAACAGAAUACCUCAUUUCAAAUUGGACCAAAUCACUUGAGGUUUUUCGAGAAGCUAUAUAAAUUAAUUUACUAGGAUAUGUGCUUUUGUCGUUUUAAAAAAUUACAAUUUGUCGAAAUAGUAAAAGGCAAUUUUUCAACUUUUUUAUGUGAGCCUAUAAUGAAAAUUUAAAAUAUGUCUUUCGUAGAUUCAAAGAAAUUAUGUGUAUACUGAAAAUUUCAUCGAGAUCGGUGAACGUAUAUAAAGUUAUAAGUAAUUAAAAUUUCCGAAAAUCGCGACUUUUCACCUAAGAACGGAACUAGUCAUGUACACUGUAUGUGUAUAUAAAAUACGUAAACUUAAACACGCUAUAUUUUUAACCGACUUCGAAAAAGGAGGAUUUUUUUUUAAUGUAUGUUCACCGAUUAUUCUAAGAAUGUACUCGAAACGAAAUCUAUUGUAUCUCGUAGAGCAUGUCUCACAACUGGUCCUGCAAAAAAAAUAUUUUGCGGGAUUAUAUAUAAAAAUAAUUUUAAGUAAACAAUAUUCAACUGGGGUCAACAUACCCAUUGCGGAUUUACUACAUGUAUGUAUAUCAGAAGUGCUGCAAACUUCUGAUACUCUUGUUCUAAUUAUAAAUAUUAUCAGCCAUA